rnacentral:rRNA from 1 species
CCAGACUCCUACGGGAGGCAGCAGUGGGGAAUAUUGCACAAUGGGGGAAACCCUGAUGCAGCGACGCCGCGUGAGCGAUGAAGUAUUUCGGUAUGUAAAGCUCUAUCAGCAGGGAAGAAAAUGACGGUACCUGACUAAGAAGCCCCGGCUCACAACGUGCCAGCAGCCGCGGUAAUACGUAGGGGGCAAGCGUUAUCCGGAUUUACUGGGUGUAAAGGGAGCGUAGACGGUCCUGCAAGCCAGAUGUGAAAGCCCGGGGCUCAACCCCGGGACUGCAUUUGGAACUGUAAGGCUAGAGUGUCGGAGAGGCAGGCGGAAUUCCUAGUGUAGCGGUGAAAUGCGUAGAUAUUAGGAGGAACACCGGCGGCGAAGGCGGCCUGCUGGACCGUAACUGACGUUGAGGCUCGAAAGCGUGGGGAGCAAACAGGAUUAGAUACCCCUGUAAC